rnacentral:scRNA from 1 species
CCGUGAGGCGGGUCGUGGAGGCCAAGGGCAAG